GCAUACUGCCGUGAAUACGUUCCCGGGCCUUGUACACACCGCCCGUCACACCAUGAGAGUUGGGGAUACCCGAGGCCUGUGAGCUAACAGUAAUGGAGCAGCAGUCGAAGGUAGAAUCAAUGAUUGGGGGUGAAGUCGUAACAAGGUACC
rnacentral:rRNA from 1 species